GAUGAACGCUGGCGGCGUGCUUAACACAUGCAAGUCGAACGAUGAAGCCCAGCUUGCUGGGUGUAUUAGUGGCGAACGGGUGAGUAACACGUGAGUAACCUGCCCUUAACUCUGGGAUAAGCCUGGGAAACUGGGUCUAUUACCGGAUAGGAGCGCCUACCGCAUGGUGGGUGUUGGAAAGAUUUAUCGGUUUUGGAUGGACUCGCGGCCUAUCAGCUUGUUGGUGGGGUAAUGGCUCACCAAGGCGACGACGGGUAGCCGGCCUGAGAGGGUGACCGGCCACACUGGGACUGAGACACGGCCCAGACUCCUACGGGAGGCAGCAGUGGGGAAUAUUGCACAAUGGGCGAAAGCCUGAUGCAGCGACGCCGCGUGAGGGAUGACGGCCUUCGGGUUGUAAACCUCUUUCAGUAGGGAAGAAGCGAAAGUGACGGUACCUGAAGAAGAAGCACCGGCUAACUACGUG
rnacentral:rRNA from 1 species